rnacentral:rRNA from 1 species
UUUAUAGCCUCUGGCUAUAGGAAAUUGUUAGUGGCAGACGGGUGAGUAAUGCGUAGGAAUCUACCUGGUAGUACGGAAUAGCCAUUAGAAAUGGUGGGUAAUACUGUAUAAUCCCCGAGGGGGAAAGAUUUAUCGCUAUUAGAUGAGCCUACGUUAGAUUAGCUAGUUGGUGAGGUAAUGGCUUACCAAGGCUAUGAUCUAUAGCUGGUCUGAGAGGACGAUCAGCCACACUGGAACUGAGAUACGGUCCAGACUCCUACGGGAGGCAGCAGUGGGGAAUAUUGGACAAUGGGCGAAAGCCUGAUCCGGCUAUGCCGCGUGAGUGAAGAAGGCCUUCGGGUUGUAAAACUCUUUCAAUAGGGAAGAUAAUGACGGUACCUAUAGAAGAAGUCCCGGCAAACUCUGUGCCAGCAGCCGCGGUAAUACGGAGGGGGCAAGCGUUGUUCGGAAUUAUUGGGCGUAAAGGGCACGUAGGUGGACUAGUAAGUUAAAAGUG